AAGUGGAUUUGGGAAGAAAUUUUGAAGAUAGAAAGGGAGAGCCUGACAGAAGUAUUUCAGGCUCUGAAUUAAAAUGAGCCAGAUGUGCUGCUGCUGGAAUAUCCUUCCUACACAAAUAUGCCGCCACCUUAACCACUUUUCCAAAAACAAAACAUAAAGCUUCCUCAGCUAAGUACUUUUUAUAGAAUUUCAAAAAUGACAAAACGUGCUCAGUUGCGCAUUGCCAGAUUAUUCUGUGUAGUCCACAGUCUCCCCAGUGCCAUGCGUGGCCUUUCCCCUCUCCCCUCCCCCACUCCUGCUUGCAUUUCUUAAACUAUUGUAGGCUAUCUUUAGGCUUGGAGAGGAACCAGGUGCUUUCCUUGGUAUUUAAGCAACUUGCUAUUUUGAAAUUCCCGUAGAGAGCUGUGGGCAUUUUUAGUUCUGUGCCUUGAUGCAUCCUUUUCCCUUUCUGAAGGAGAAGCUGCUUACAUAAUACCCAGAAGCGGACCCUUGGGAACUGCAGAGCUAUUUUAUGGAUAUUUUGCAAGAAAAGGAACGCAAGAGCUCCAGUGUCCUGUGUGCCCUCCCGCGAGGGUCUCCACUGGAGAUAUUUGCACAGUAGCAGAUUCUCAGAAGGAUAAAUAUACAUAAAUCCAUCUUUCAAAGGGGGAAGAAUCCGUAGGAAGCUGCACCUAGGAGGGUGAGAGCCCACUAAUAGCUCAGCCCGAAAGAGCUUCUUGAACAAUUCUAGAGCCAGGACCCAACUGUCAGCAGAGCUUGCCAGGGAGACAGAUGCUGCGGUUGGAAGACAGUUUUCCUCAGUUAGAUAUUUUGUUCUUGUAGAUGGCCAACCAUGACUCAUGGGG
rnacentral:lncRNA from 1 species